rnacentral:tRNA from 1 species
GGAUUUGAACCAGCGUAGACAUAUCGUCAACGAAUUUACAGUCCGUCCCCAUUAACCGCUCGGGCAUCGACCCAGGAAGAAUUA